rnacentral:rRNA from 1 species
GAUGAACGCUGGCGGCGUGCCUAACACAUGCAAGUCGAGCGAUUCUCUUCGGAGAAGAGCGGCGGACGGGUGAGUAACGCGUGGGUAACCUGCCCUGUACACACGGAUAACAUACCGAAAGGUAUGCUAAUACGGGAUAAUGUAAGAGAGUCGCAUGGCUUUCUUAUCAAAGCUUCGGCGGUACAGGAUGGACCCGCGUCGGAUUAGCUAGUUGGUGAGGUAAUGGUUUACAAAGGCGACGAUCAGUAGCCGACCUGAGAGGGUGAUCGGCCACAUUGGGACUGAGACACGGUCCAAACUCCUACGGGAGGCAGCAGUGGGGAAUAUUGCACAAUGGGCGAAAGCCUGAUGCAGCAACGCCGCGUGAGCGAUGAAGGCCUUCGGGUCGUAAAGCUCUGUCCUCAAGGAAGAUAAUGACGGUACUUGAGGAGGAAGCCCCGGCUAACUACGUGCCAGCCGCCGCGGUAA